CGGUGUGCAGCUUUACGACGGUCUGAAACCCGCCAAACUACAGGAAGCAGAAGAAGGCGGCGUCACCGCAGCUUCCGGCGUCACUAUGGCGGCUCACGCGAGUGAACUGGAGAUAGCCAAGAAGAACUUGACCGAUGCGAUAGGAGACAAUAUCAAACAUUACUGGGCCAAUCUCAAACUCUGGUUCAAGCAGAAGAUCAGCAAGGAGGAGUUCGACCUGGAGGCGCGGCGUCUGCUGGCGCAGGAGAACGUCCAUGUUCACAAUGACUUUCUGCUGGCCAUCCUCACCCGCUGCCAGAUCAUCGUGUCCACGUCAGAGGGCACCAGCUCGCUGCAGUGGACCGGCGGAUCCGCAUCCAAACCAGGCAAACCCAGCCGAGGCAAAAAGAAGUUUCCCUCCGUUCGGCAGAAAUUCGAUCACCGCUUCCAGCCGCAGAACCCCCUGCAGGCGGCGCAGGCCUUCAGUCCUCGAGAAGCGGCGCUGGAGGACGACGAGCUGAGACUGAGCGCUCAGACGCUGCUGCUGCCCAGCCGAGGACAGAUGGAGGCGCGCAUGAUGGUCACCGCCUUCGAGAUGGGCCUGGACAACGUGAGCGAGGACGCCGUCAGCACCGUGUUCUGCGCGCUGGAGGUGCAUCUGAAGGAGAUCCUCACAGCUCUGGUGUCGCGGAGGAAAGCCUACCGUCUGCGGGACGGUCACUUCCAGUAUGCGUUCGGCAGUGACGUGACGCCGCGGCCGUACCUGAAGAACAGUCUGCCGGUGUACCACAGCGUCACUCAGUGUCCUCCUGCGAGCGCGUCUCUCCCCGCCGGACCUCCUCCUCAGGUUCUGCCGGACGAUGCGGAGCAGCAAGCUGCGCUCCUGCUGGCGUGUUCGGCUGACCGUCUCCCUCCACCGCUGCGGCCGGUCAGCGUCUUCGACCUGCUGGAGGCGCUGCAGGUCCAGCGGCGGGUGAUGCCGUCUCACAGCAUGUACGCUCUGAACAUGGAGAGGAUCCUGGCCCGGCUCUGGCACCCGAGCCACGAGGAGCUGGAGCAGGACCACAUCCACCGCCAGCAUCUGGCCAGCAAAGAGGGGCUGCUGGUCAGCUGAGAGAUGAAGACCGGACACACCAUCAUCAUCAUCACACACGUGCUGCGCAUCAGCCAGACUAACACACACUCAGAUGCUUCUGGGCAUUACUUUCUUUACAAAUGCCGCCGUACACACUCUUCUGGACGCAUGAGAGCCGUAGAGGUCAGCAUCUGAGCUACAGGCAUUAUCCUCCGGGACGAGACUUAACAGAUCACUCGUGUUCCUUUAAUAAUCACUGUUCUUAGAGGAUCAGCAACAAGC